rnacentral:rRNA from 1 species
GAUUAAGCCAUGCAUGUGUAAGUCUAAAUAGUUUUAGUGUGAAACUGCGAAUGGCUCAUUAUAUCAGUUAUAGUUUAUUUGGAAUAGUUUGUAUAUGGAUAACCGUAGUAAUUCUAGGGCUAAUACAUGUGUUUUCUUUGUUGGGUAACCAGUAAAGAAGUACUUAUUAGAGAUAAAACCAUUACUUAAAAAUGGUGAGUAAUAAUAAUUGUUGGACUUUAUCGCAUGCUUUUUUGUAGUAGCGAUGUUCCUUUCAAGUUUCUGCCCUAUCAGCUUUCGAUGGUAGUGUAUUGGACUACCAUG